AUUGAACGCUGGCGGCAGGCCUAACACAUGCAAGUCGAGCGGAUGAAGGGAGCUUGCUCCUGGAUUCAGCGGCGGACGGGUGAGUAAUGCCUAGGAAUCUGCCUGGUAGUGGGGGAUAACGUCCGGAAACGGGCGCUAAUACCGCAUACGUCCUGAGGGAGAAAGUGGGGGAUCUUCGGACCUCACGCUAUCAGAUGAGCCUAGGUCGGAUUAGCUAGUUGGUGGGGUAAAGGCCUACCAAGGCGACGAUCCGUAACUGGUCUGAGAGGAUGACCAGUCACACUGGAACUGAGACACGGUCCAGACUCCUACGGGAGGCAGCAGUGGGGAAUAUUGGACAAUGGGCGAAAGCCUGAUCCAGCCAUGCCGCGUGUGUGAAGAAGGUCUUCGGAUUGUAAAGCACUUUAAGUUGGGAGGAACGGCAGUAAGUUAAUACCUUGCUGUUUUGACGUUACCAACAGAAUAAGCACCGGCUAACUUCGUG
rnacentral:rRNA from 1 species